ACGUGCCAGCAGCCGCGGUAAUACGUAGGUGGCAAGCGUUGUCCGGAAUUACUGGGUGUAAAGGGCGAGUAGGUGGAUCACUAAGUCAGAGGUGAAAACCCAUGGCUAAACUGUGGGAUAGCAACUGAAACUAGAGAUCUUGAGUACUGGAGAGGGAAGCGGAAUUCCUAGUGUAGCGGUGAAAUGCGUAGAUAUUAGGAGGAACACCAGUGGCGAAGGCGGCUUCCUGGACAGAGACUGACACUGAGGCGCGAAAGCGUGGGGAGCGAACAGGAUUAGAUACCCUGGUAGUCCACGCUGUAAACGAUGGAUACUAGGUGUAGGUGGUAAGAAACCAUCUGUGCCGGAGUAAACACAAUAAGUAUCCCACCUGGGGAGUACAGCCGCAAGGUUGAAACUCAAAGGAAUUGACGGGGGCCCGCACAAGCAGUGGAGUAUGUGGUUUAAUUCGAAGCAACGCGAAGAACCUUACCAGGGCUUGACAUCCCUUGAACUAUCUAGAGAUAGGUAGGGCCUACGGGACAAGGAGACAGGUGGUGCAUGGUUGUCGUCAGCUCGUGUCGUGAGAUGUUGGGUUAAGUCCCGCAACGAGCGCAACCCUUAUAGCUAGUUGCCAGCAAUAAGAUGGGGACUCUAGCGAGACAGCCGUUGAGAAAACGGAGGAAGGAAAGGAUGACGUCAAAUCAUCAUGCCCCUUAUGCUCUGGGCUACACACGUACUACAAUGGCUACUACAGAGGGAAGCGAAGCCAGGAGGCGGAGCAAAUCUCAAAAAGGUAGUCCCAGUUCAGAUUGUAGGCUGAAACUCGCCUGCAUGAAGUAGGAAUUGCUAGU
rnacentral:rRNA from 1 species